GACGAACGCUGGCGGCGUGCUUAACACAUGCAAGUCGAGCGGUAAGGCCCUUUCGGGGGUACGACGAGCGGCGAACGGGUGAGUAACACGUGGGUGACCUGCCCUUAGCUCUGGGAUAAGCCUGGGAAACUGGGUCUAAUACCGGAUAUGACUCCAUGACGCAUGUUGUGGGGUGGAAAGCCUUGUGCGGCUAGGGAUGGGCCCGCGGCCUAUCAGCUUGUUGGUGGGGUGAUGGCCUACCAAGGCGACGACGGGUAGCCGGCCUGAGAGGGCGACCGGCCACACUGGGACUGAGACACGGCCCAGACUCCUACGGGAGGCAGCAGUGGGGAAUCUUGCGCAAUGGGCGAAAGCCUGACGCAGCGACGCCGCGUGAGGGAUGACGGCCUCGGUUGUAACU
rnacentral:rRNA from 1 species